UACUUUGUGUGUGUGUGUGUGUGUGUGUGUGUGUGUGUGUGUGUGUGUGUGUGUGUUUCGCAUACACACACACACACACACACACACACACACACACACACACACACACACACAC